GGGGAAUAUUGCACAAUGGGGGAAACCCUGAUGCAGCGACGCCGCGUGGAGGAAGAAGGUCUUCGGAUUGUAAACUCCUGUUGUUGGGGAAGAUAAUGACGGUACCCAACAAGGAAGUGACGGCUAACUACGUGCCAGCAGCCGCGGUAAAACGUAGGUCACAAGCGUUGUCCGGAAUUACUGGGUGUAAAGGGAGCGCAGGCGGGAAGACAAGUUGGAAGUGAAAUCUAUGGGCUCAACCCAUAAACUGCUUUCAAAACUGUUUUUCUUGAGUAGUGCAGAGGUAGGCGGAAUUCCCGGUGUAGCGGUGGAAUGCGUAGAUAUCGGGAGGAACACCAGUGGCGAAGGCGGCCUACUGGGCACCAACUGACGCUGAGGCUCGAAAGUGUGGGUAGCAAACAGGAUUAGAUACCCUGGUAGUCCACACCGUAAACGAUGAUUAUUAGGUGUUGGAGGAU
rnacentral:rRNA from 1 species